CUGAGGUCAGAAUUAUACACAUCUGGAUCUUUACGGGGGCAGAAGACUCCAGUGGGCAGGUAAUUUGAUUUUGAAUGUCUAUCUUCUGUGGGAUAUGAAGAUUAAAUUCUGAGGUUCUUGAAGGAAAGGAGUGUAUCAUAACAAUCCAUACUGUCCUAUGGCACCCAGAAUCUUAAAGGUGAUAAAAUGGCAUGUUUAAGAGGCUCUGGAGACAGAUCAUCUAGAUUCAAAUACUAGCUCUGCUCGUUAGCUGCUGUGUGCAUUUUGGUGAGUUACCUGUUCUCUUGCUAACCUAGCAUUU
rnacentral:lncRNA from 1 species